rnacentral:misc_RNA from 1 species
GAUGAAGAACGUAGUGAAAUGCGAUAAGUAGUGUGAAUUGCAGAAUUCAGUGAAUCAUCGAAUCUUUGAACGCACAUUGCGCCCUUCGGUAUUCCGUCGGGCAUGCCUGUUCGAGCGUCAUUACAACCCUCAGGCCCCCGGGCCUGGCGUUGGGGAUCGGCGAGGCGCCCCCCGCGGGCACGCGCCGUCCCCCAAAUACAGUGGCGGUCCCGCCGCAGCUUCCAUUGCGUAGUAGCUAACACCUCGCAACUGGAGAGCGGCGCGGCCAUGCCGUAAAACACCCAACUUCUGAAUGUUGACCUCGAAUCAGGUAGGAAUACCCGCUGAACUUAAGCAUAUCAAUAAGCGGAGGA